rnacentral:lncRNA from 1 species
CGACAACAAGCGUCAACAAGCGACAAGAAGCGACAACAAGAAUUAUUUUAGCGACAACAAGCGACAAGAAACUAUUUAGCGACAAGAAAACAUUUUUUUUUUAAUUAAAAUAAAUUAUUGCAAUAAAUAUUAAAAGAAUAUGCAAAAGAAAAUAAUUUUAGCGACAAGAAAGUUAAAAUUGAUAGAAAAAAAUGAAACAUUAUUUACAUAAUAUUUUAUCAUCUAUUAUGAAUAACAGCCAGUAUUACGUUUAAUUAUUGUAUUAUGAGAUUACUUUUCCCAAGGAUUUGUAUAGUACUAUACAAAUCCUUGCUUUUCCUUUGUUUAGAACAUAUUAUUUAUCUUAUAAUUUGUUUUUUAAAACAAUGAAUUAUACUGUUAGAAUCAAAAUAUUAU